CACAAGCUGUGGUCCCUUCUGCCUUGGGCCUUCGAGGGUCACCCUGCAGUGUCAAGAUGAGUUUGUGGAGAGAAGACUCUUGGAAGUGUGGUUGUGCUGCUGAAACACCAAAUUCCCCCUUAUUCCGUUGUGUUUAAAUUCAACUGUCCGCAGUAAGUGAUGGGAGGCUGUUGGGAGUCUGCAGGCAUAGAUCCACUGGGAGCUGCAUCCGAAGACCUGUGCUCCCAUCUCGGGAAGUAAGAAUUCACCUUGGAGAAAAAGCCCAUACUCCGUAAGACCACCAUAGCAACAACCACUUCACAGCAACACGGUCCCCUGCAAGGAUGUUGCCUGUGGUUCUGAAAACACCCAUCUGGUUAGAAAGAAGGAUGGUUCUAGGCUGGGAUUAUUUGUCCUGUCGUUAUUUGACUUGCUGCUUCACACUCUCCUGAGCAAGGCCCUAUCUCAUGGCAACGUUCUGAACUUCAGAGCUCCGUGUCAACAUGAAGGCAGAAGAAAAUGCCCAACAGGAGAAGAGAAAACAGCAUGGGUGUGUGAGGGACUGCAAGGAUUAUAGCAACAGAAACAGCACAGGGCCUGGGGAGGUGGCGUUUCAAUAGGUAAAGUGCUUCCGAGUAAGUGAUUCCCGGAACCCAGGGAAAGUUGGGCACAGCAGCUCAUGCCUGUCAACCUGCUCCUACAGAAAGAUGAGAGGAUCCGCAGAAGUGAGGCAGUCAAGCAUAGGAGGCAACUUACUCACCUGGAACUGUACUUGGUCUAAACCGUGUGCACAUUCCUGUUCUGACAUUGCGCUUAGCAGCCUACACUGCUGCUAUCCUGCAUACACAUCCCCCUCUGAUGUGCUAGCAACCUUGGACCUCAACGGACUCUGAGCAAUGCGAUAAGAUUCUCCUCCCCUUACUGUCAAACGUGGACAGUUUAUACCCAAACGCUAAUGCAUUCUGGAGGGACAGCCUGAACUGGUUUGGGGUGCAUGUACAAUAGGGCAAAACAAUGAAAACUGUGUCCUCAAGUGAACUUUUAAGAAGAAUCUAUCUACUACAUUAUAUCUAUGAGUAAUUGAGUAUGCAUAUAGUUAAAAUCAUAUAAAUUAUGGGGAAGGCCACGGACUAUAUGAAAAAUGGUUAUAUGAUCUUAUCUAUUCAUCAACACAGAGAAACACUCUCACUAGACCCCCAUAAUAACCAGUUUCCUCCUCCUCUUGAACUCCACAAGAGGAAGCCCCAAACAAUAGUCAGGACCCCAGUCUCCUCCCUCACAGCUGGCUGUCAAUCAUGACAGUCAGGACCCGAGUCUCCUCCCUCACAGCUGGCUGUCAAUCAUGACAGUAGAACCCUCUAUUCUGUACUGGUGUACUGGUGAAUAAAAUUACCUUGCUACUUUUGCAAA
rnacentral:lncRNA from 1 species